GUAGUUAGCCGGGGCUUCCUCCUUGAGUACCGUCACUUCCUUCUUCCUCAAGGACAGAGGUUUACAAUCCGAGAACCUUCUUCCCUCACGCGGCGUUGCUGGGUCAGGCUUUCGCCCAUUGCCCAAUAUUCCCCACUGCUGCCUCCCGUAGGAGUCUGGGCCGUGUCUCAGUCCCAGUGUGGCCGAUCACCCUCUCAGGUCGGCUACCCAUCGUUGACUUGGUGGGCCGUUACCUCACCAACUAUCUAAUGGGACGCGAGCUCACCCCUCACCGGAUUGCUCCUUUGACCUCUUCGUCAUGUGACAUUGUGGUCUUAUGCGGUAUUAGCACCUGUUUCCAAGUGUUAUCCCCCUGUGAAGGACAGAUUGCUCACGCGUUACUCACCCGUCCGCCGCUAAAACAGAAACCGAAGUCCCUGUCUCCGCUCGACUUGCAUGUGUUAGGCACGCCGCCAGCGUUCGUCCUGAGCAUAUACAACUACUGA
rnacentral:rRNA from 1 species